GUUCGUGUCUUAAGUCUUUGGUUUGCAGCGAUUCAGUUUCUUCGUGUACGCCGUCAGUGCUGGUUGUGUUUAGCGGAUGGAAGAAAGCGUCUGCUGCCUCUUAUGGACUAAGCUGAAAACAAAAAUAAAUUUUGCACGUUAAAACUGUUGGAAAUAUAUUUAACUUUAUUACAAGAACAACGAAAAGCUGAACACUGCGAAUUUUUGGGUGUAUGUGAGUGACGAAAUUCCAGUGAAGAAAAAAUAAUAUAAAAAUAUAGAAAAUCGUCUAUUAAAUAAAGACCAAAACCAACCACAGUGCAACAAAAGCAAAAUCCAUGCUAUCAAACAUAAAUAUAUAUCAACAAAACUAAAGUGUGAAAUAAGGAAAAAAAACUACACAAAAUAACAACAACGACAAUCAAAUAACUUCAAAAUAAUCCAGCAUAAAAAGUAUCAGAAUCUUCUUCAUCUAAAA